rnacentral:rRNA from 1 species
AAAUUGAAGAGUUUGAUCAUGGCUCAGAUUGAACGCUGGCGGCAGGCCUAACACAUGCAAGUCGAACGGUAACAGGAAGCAGCUUGCUGCUUCGCUGACGAGUGGCGGACGGGUGAGUAAUGUCUGGGAAACUGCCUGAUGGAGGGGGAUAACUACUGGAAACGGUGGCUAAUACCGCAUAACGUCGCAAGACCAAAGAGGGGGACCUUCGGGCCUCUUGCCAUCAGAUGUGCCCAGAUGGGAUUAGCUAGUUGGUGAGGUAACGGCUCACCAAGGCGACGAUCCCUAGCUGGUCUGAGAGGAUGACCAGCCACACUGGAACUGAGACACGGUCCAGACUCCUACGGGAGGCAGCAGUGGGGAAUAUUGCACAAUGGGCGCAAGCCUGAUGCAGCCAUGCCGCGUGUAUGAAGAAGGCCUUCGGGUUGUAAAGUACUUUCAGCGGGGAGGAAGGUGUUGUGGUUAAUAACCACAGCAAUUGACGUUACCCGCAGAAGAAGCACCGGCUAACUCCGUGCCAGCAGCCGCGGUAAUACGGAGGGUGCAAGCGUUAAUCGGAAUUACUGGGCGUAAAGCGCACGCAGGCGGUCUGUCAAGUCGGAUGUGAAAUCCCCGGGCUCAACCUGGGAACUGCAUUCGAAACUGGCAGGCUUGAGUCUUGUAGAGGGGGGGAGAAUUCCAGGUGUAGCGGUGAAAUGCGUAGAGAUCUGGAGGAAUACCGGUGGCGAAGGCGGCCCCCUGGACAAAGACUGACGCUCAGGUGCGAAAGCGUGGGGAGCAAACAGGAUUAGAUACCCUGGUAGUCCACGCCGUAAACGAUGUCUACUUGGAGGUUGUGCCCUUGAGGCGUGGCUUCCGGAGCUAACGCGUUAAGUAGACCGCCUGGGGAGUACGGCCGCAAGGUUAAAACUCAAAUGAAUUGACGGGGGCCCGCACAAGCGGUGGAGCAUGUGGUUUAAUUCGAUGCAACGCGAAGAACCUUACCUGGUCUUGACAUCCACAGAACUUUCCAGAGAUGGAUUGGUGCCUUCGGGAACUGUGAGACAGGUGCUGCAUGGCUGUCGUCAGCUCGUGUUGUGAAAUGUUGGGUUAAGUCCCGCAACGAGCGCAACCCUUAUCCUUUGUUGCCAGCGGUUAGGCCGGGAACUCAAAGGAGACUGCCAGUGAUAAACUGGAGGAAGGUGGGGAUGACGUCAAGUCAUCAUGGCCCUUACGACCAGGGCUACACACGUGCUACAAUGGCGCAUACAAAGAGAAGCGACCUCGCGAGAGCAAGCGGACCUCAUAAAGUGCGUCGUAGUCCGGAUUGGAGUCUGCAACUCGACUCCAUGAAGUCGGAAUCGCUAGUAAUCGUGGAUCAGAAUGCCACGGUGAAUACGUUCCCGGGCCUUGUACACACCGCCCGUCACACCAUGGGAGUGGGUUGCAAAAGAAGUAGGUAGCUUAACCUUCGGGAGGGCGCUUACCACUUUGUGAUUCAUGACUGGGGUGAAGUCGUAACAAGGUAACCGUAGGGGAACCUGCGGUUGGAUCACCUCCUUA